rnacentral:rRNA from 1 species
AUAGCGUAUAUUAAAGUUGUUGCAGUUAAAAAGCUCGUAGUUGAACUUCAGACCUGGCUGGACGGUCUGCUUAACGGCAUGUACUGUCUGGGCGGGUCUUACCUCUUGGUGAGCCGGCGUGCCCUUCAUUGGUGUGCGUUGGGGAACCAGGACUUUUACCUUGAGAAAAUUAGAGUGUUCAAAGCAGGCCUAUGCCCGAAUACAUUAGCAUGGAAUAAUAAAAUAGGACGCGCGGUUCUAUUUUGUUGGUUUCUAGAGUCGCCGUAAUGAUUAAUAGGGAUAGUUGGGGGCAUUAGUAUUCAGUUGCUAGAGGUGAAAUUCUUGGAUUUACUGAAGACUAACUACUG